AAAUUAUUUUGUGGAAAUGUUAAAGAAUAAGCAUUAUGGGUUAUAAGCAGCUUCUUGAUGGUACCAAAGAUGCAAGUGUCCCUGGACUUUUCAAGAAGAAAGUUGUGGCCAACCAGCAUACUUAAGCUAGAAAUGAUGGAGAUAGUGCUUAGCUCUCAUCAGCUCUGCUAGAGUAUCUACCUCGCAGAUUGAGAUGUGGGCCUUUGUAGACUGAAAACUGCAUCUCUCCAGAAAUGAAUUCCUGAUUAUGUGAUGAAAGAACCCAACCAGGAAACACAACCACAACAGAGAACCUCAGGCAAAUAUACCCAUGAAGACAGAACUGAGGGGAUCUAAGACUGCCAUAGAAGGCCAACUUUAGCUAAUGCAACCUCUGAUGGAAAGAGAGUUCAAAGUUUGGAUAUUAGACCAUUAGGGAGAAACAAAAGCAUAUAUUAAGAAAAGAAGAUUCCAAAGGAACCAUGGAAUUUCAGAGCUGCAAGAGAACCUAGAGAUCAUUUACACCAAAUGCCUAAUUUUAUGGAUGGGAAAACUGAAGCUUCUAGAGCUGAUAUGACUUGCCCAAGGACAUAGGAUUAGCAGCAUAACUGGAACCACUGUUUUAAUGGUGUCGACCUGACUUCCCUGUCAUAGGGAUGUUGUCCAUUUUCAGGUACUGGGCACUAAUGACAUCUAAGCUACCCUAACACCUGCCAUCUGAUCAUUUCCUCUAUUGAAGUCCCAAGCAACCAGGAUCUGGCUGGUUCAUCUCUUAACACAGCAG
rnacentral:lncRNA from 1 species